ACUACCCAAGUCUAGAAUUGCUUACUUGCUUACAUGAUUGGUUUACCAACCUUAAGGAAAACUCUUAAGUCAUACAUGUUGCUUAUGAAGGAUAGUUUGGAAUAUAGAACCAGACAGAAGCUAGAGAUGUAGUUCUGUCUGCUAAUUAAUCUGAUUGAGGACCGAUCCGUGUCUUAACUGCUGAUCAAGUGAUAACAUCUGAUCACUUACUGGUUAUGGGACCAGUAAAGCCCAGUAGAUUAGUAAAUUCUAUGAUCAGGAAUGCUUCGUACCCGCAUUUGACGUGCUGGAGAUUGGCAGGGGUGUAGCCUGAAACUCACAUGGAGAUCAGGCCAGACGUGGGGUCCCAUGUGGGGGUGCAUCCCUGGAUCCGGGUAGUUGUAUUCCUAAUCAUUGACUUUGCUAAUCGAGAGGUUGUGAGAUACGACCGGAACAGUCGUAUAAUGCUGGUGAUCGGGGUACUCUCCUGCAGGAUGUAAUUUGAUCCGGAUCGCCGCAAUUCUCGGUUAUGAAUGCACUUGAUCACUGUUGAG
rnacentral:lncRNA from 1 species